rnacentral:rRNA from 1 species
CGCUGGCGGCGCGCCUAACACAUGCAAGUCGAACGGAGCUGAGAGAAGCUUGCUUUUCUUAGCUUAGUGGCGAACGGGUGAGUAACGCGUGAGUAACCUGCCCUGGAGUGGGGGACAACAGUUGGAAACGACUGCUAAUACCGCAUAAGCCCACGGUCCGGCAUCGGAUUGAGGGAAAAGGAUUUAUUCGCUUCAGGAUGGACUCGCGUCCAAUUAGCUAGUUGGUGAGGUAACGGCCCACCAAGGCGACGAUUGGUAGCCGGACUGAGAGGUUGAACGGCCACAUUGGGACUGAGACACGGCCCAGACUCCUACGGGAGGCAGCAGUGGGGGAUAUUGCACAAUGGGGGAAACCCUGAUGCAGCGACGCCGCGUGGAGGAAGAAGGUUUUCGGAUUGUAAACUCCUGUCGUUAGGGACGAUAAUGACGGUACCUAACAAGAAAGCACCGGCUAACUACGUG